rnacentral:rRNA from 1 species
GAUGGUUGUCGUCAGCUCGUGUCGUGAGAUGUGGUUAAGUCCGCAACCGAGCGCAACCCCUAUUGUUAGUUGCCAUCAUUCAGUUGGGCACUCUAGCGAGACUGCCGGUAAUAAACCGGAGGAAGGUGGGGAGUGACGUCAAAUCAUCAUGCCCCUUAUGACCUGGGCUACACACGUGCUACAAUGGUUGGUACAACGAGUUGCGAGUCGGUGACGGCGAGCUAAUCUCUUAAAGCCAAUCUCAGUUCGGAUUGUAGGCUGCAACUCGCCUACAUGAAGUCGGAAUCGCUAGUAAUCGCGGAUCAGCACGCCGCGGUGAAUACGUUCCCGGGCCUU